UGUCAAAGCCAAAAUUCAAGACAAGGA
rnacentral:piRNA from 1 species